rfam:Schistosoma curassoni strain Dakar, Senegal genome assembly, scaffold: SCTD_contig0006908
GUCCAGCUGACGAGUCCCAAAUACGACGAAACGCGCGUCCUGGAU